rnacentral:rRNA from 1 species
AUUGAACGCUGGCGGCAUGCUUUACACAUGCAAGUCGAACGGUAACAGGUUAAGCUGACGAGUGGCGAACGGGUGAGUAAUGCAUCGGAACGUGCUCGGUCGUGGGGGAUAACGCAGCGAAAGCUGCGCUAAUACCGCAUACGAUCUGAGGAUGAAAGCGGGGGACCGUAAGGCCUCGCGCGAUCGGAGCGGCCGAUGUCAGAUUAGGUAGUUGGUGGGGUAAAGGCCCACCAAGCCGACGAUCUGUAGCUGGCCUGAGAGGACGACCAGCCACACUGGGACUGAGACACGGCCCAGACUCCUACGGGAGGCAGCAGUGGGGAAUUUUGGACAAUGGGCGAAAGCCUGAUCCAGCAAUGCCGCGUGCAGGAAGAAGGCCUUCGGGUUGUAAACUGCUUUUGUACGGAGCGAAAAGGUCCUUUCUAAUACAAGGGGCUCAUGACGGUACCGUAAGAAUAAGCACCGGCUAACUACGUGCCAGCAGCCGCCGUAA